GACGAACGCUGGCGGCGUGCUUAACACAUGCAAGUCGAGCGGUAAGGCCCUUUCGGGGGUACGACGAGCGGCGAACGGGUGAGUAACACGUGGGUGACCUGCCCUUAGCUCUGGGAUAAGCCUGGGAAACUGGGUCUAAUACCGGAUAUGACCUCAUGACUCAUGUUGUGGGGUGGAAAGCCUUGUGCGGCUAGGGAUGGGCCCGCGGUCUAUCAGCUUGUUGGUGGGGUAAUUGCCUACCAAGGCGACGACGGGUAGCCGGCCUGAGAGGGCGACCGGCCACACUGGGACUGAGACACGGCCCAGACUCCUACGGGAGGCAGCAGUGGGAAUCUUGCGCAAUGGGCGAAAGCCUGACGCAGCGACGCCGCGUGA
rnacentral:rRNA from 1 species